CAAACCGAGCUCUCCUCCGCGGCAUCCAGGCUCGCUCAGAAAUGCAGAGAAGCUGCCAGCUGACUCGCAAGCCUCUCUCCCUUCAGCCUUGUUUGAAGAGGCCCCCGGGUUCUUGGAAGUGAGGGAGCCCAGCGCUGGGAAGCCACGGGAAGAUGUUCCGCACAUGGAGCCAGGGGCAGGCGCAGCUGCUGCGGGAUCCUCCGGGCAUCUGCAACCAUCAAAGCCUCCCUGGUGCCUCUGACCUGGCAGCUGGAGCCAGGGGAAAGGGUUUCUGGUGUCCUUUCCAGUGGAGGGGUUGUUAAUGUCUGGUGCUGUGGGCCAAGAAAAGAAGGAACAAGCUUGAAAAUCCCCACAUCCUCCUGUAGGACCAGAUCCUUCCUUUGGAUGUGGUUCCUAUUGAGUGCACCAGAUAUUGCCCAAGUGAAGCUAAGCACGGAGCUUGACCUGGUGAUUUUGCAAGCCCCAGUUUAAGUUUCAUGUGUACUUUUAUCCAGUUAAGCAAACAGCUGUUUCUCCUGUGAGAUAAAUGCCCUCCUCAGAGAUGUCUCCAGGCGAUGUUUGGCUGCUCUGGCUUUUCUCCUGCUUCUCACAAACCCUCUGUCUGACCACUGGGUGUCAGUAAAAGACUGCGAAGUGAUUUUCUGCAAUUAAAUAUACAUGGAUUCCUCUCAGGCUCUGUGGGUGUUCAUUUCUUAAGGUGGCCAAGGCAAAUUUGAGAAUACAACUGACACACACACACACCAGAAGCGUAGAAUAAUUAACAAAAGCAGCUCAGAUCAGUAAGUUUUUCCUGAAUCAUGUCACUAUUCUAUUUGAAUUCAUUCAUACUAUCAGGCAACUAAAUAAAUUAAAGAAAAAUAGUUAUGUUUUUUUUUUU
rnacentral:lncRNA from 1 species